AGUGUAGGCGGUUUGAAAAGUCGGGUGUGAAAGCCCAGGGCCCAACCCUGGAACUGCAUCCGAUACUGUCAGGCUAGAGUCCCGGAGAGGGUGGCGGAAUUCCCGGUGUAGGGGUGAAAUCCGUAGAUAUCGGGAGGAACACCAGUGGCGAAGGCGGCCACCUGGACGGUGACUGACGCUGAGACUCGAAAGUGUGGGUAGCAAACAGGAUUAGAUACCCUGGUAGUCC
rnacentral:rRNA from 1 species